AAGCAUAAUAAGAGGCGUGUUCCACCACUGUGGACGGGGUCCCUGGGCUUUCCCCUAGGGUCCCAUCAGCUGCUUAUGUUCUACCUUCUGACGGAUCACAGGAGGAGCCUGCAGCGGAGGAGCCUCCUCCUCCUCAGCAUCAGACCUAAAGGGAGUGUCCUGCCUGAAGGACCGGCUCAAGGUCGCACUAACAGCUCUUGCUAACUCCUGUUCCAGGCUGUUUAUCUGGGCCUCCAAGUACCCUGCUUGCGCCUGGAGGUCUCUCACCCCCAGGUCCUGCUCAAAGCUGUGCACUUGGGCCCCCAGGCAUGCGGCUUGCUCCGGAAGGUCCCUUACCUGUGGCACUGAGCAUGUACUUCCUGCAGUGCAGUUAGAAAUGCCCAUCCGACUCUGCUUGCAAAGUUCCUUUAUUUAUAGGCACAGCUGCUUAAAGACUGUUACCGGAAAGGAAUCCUGAUCCAGACGCCAAGAGAGGGUUCUUGGACUCAUGCAAGAAAGACUUCAGAAUACGAGUUUUGAAUUUUUGAAUUGCUGUUAAAACUUUCAUCAUGAACACUGAAGUGAGUGAAAAGAGACUUUUGCAGUCAUUUUUUUGCUGGCUGCAGAUGACAGUGACACCCUGGGAGUUGAGAAAUGCUUGUAAGAUGGAAGGAGGCUGUGUCCCUGAAUGAUCACCUGGAAGAGAGCCACCUUAGCCAAUGAAACUCCUGCUAUGAAUGUUUGCUGAGCAAGAAAUAUACUUACUGCUUUAUAUGCCUUUGAAGCUAUAGGUUCAUAUUGUUACCACAAUUUAAAGUGCUAUAAUAAAAAGAGUUCAGGAAGCAGGCACAUGGAAGCAAUAAGAGCAACAAACAUUUACACAGUUCUCAGGUCCCUGGACCAUGAAGGGCCACAUCCAAGGAGCUACCCCAGGAGGCCUCUCAUUUGCAUUUGUCCCCGCUAAUGCAGGACAGAGAUCAUGGAAGUUGGGCCCGACUGGAUGAGAUUUGGGGGUCUUUGGAAGUGGAGAAUGUGUUUGCCCUGGGGAAGAGAGGUGAUGUCUAGGAGACCUCUUCACUCAGGGCAAGCUCUAUGACCUGCUUUGACUCCAGAAUGUGGUAGAAGUGGCAUCACAUAAAUUGCAGAGCCUAGGCUUCAAGAGACCUUGCAACUUGCCUCUCACUGACUUGAAGUGCUCCCAUCAGAGCAUCUUGUAAGGAGCAGGUGGAGCAUGUGGACAAGCCAUCCCCACCAGCCCCUGAGACAUGUGAGAGAGGCCAGAACAGGCCAUCCGGACCCCACUGUGCUGGUGGAUGAGACAGCAGAAGGAAUAUCAACCUACCAACAGAAUCCUGAGAAAUGCUCACUCUUACUUCAAGCUGCUGCAUUUUGAUGUUAUGAAACCAUAAAUAACUUAUGAAGUCAUCUUUGCUGACUUAAAGUUUUCCAUAACUUUAUUAUAACAUAUCAAAAUUAUGAAAAAUGUGAAAAGUAGAAAACUGAUGAAUUUUGCUUCUUCAUAUGGUCUUUAAGAAUCUCAAAGGCACUGAAGUUUUUUAUCUUUUCUGUCUUAGAAUAAAAAACCUUGAAUGAAAAUCUGCUUCUUGGAAAAGCAGCAAGGUUUAUG
rnacentral:lncRNA from 1 species